UACGGAGGGAGCUAGCGUUGUUCGGAAUUACUGGGCGUAAAGCGCACGUAGGCGGCGAUUCAAGUCAGAGGUGAAAGCCCGGGGCUCAACCCCGGAACUGCCUUUGAAACUAGAUUGCUAGAAUCCAGGAGAGGUGAGUGGAAUUCCGAGUGUAGAGGUGAAAAUUCGUAGAUAUUCGGAAGAACACCAGUGGCGAAGGCGGCUCACUGGACUGGUAUUGACGCUGAGGUGCGAAAGCGUGGGGGAGCAAACAGG
rnacentral:rRNA from 1 species